rnacentral:rRNA from 1 species
UCCUACGGGAGGCAGCAGUGGGGAAUAUUGCGCAAUGGACGAAAGUCUGACGCAGCGACGCCGCGUGUAGGAUGACGCCUUUCGGGGUGUAAACUACUGUUGCCCGGGACGAAACUCCUUUUUCGAGAGGACUGACGGUACCGGGUGAGGAAGCACCGGCUAACUCUGUGCCAGCAGCCGCGGUAAUACAGAGGGUGCGAGCGUUGUCCGGAAUCACUGGGCGUAAAGGGCGCGUAGGUGGCUUGGUAAGCGUGUGGUGAAAGCCCGGGGCUCAACCCCGGAUCUGCCGUGCGAACUGCCGAGCUUGAGCACUGUAGAGGCAGGUGGAAUUCCGGGUGUAGCGGUGGAAUGCGUAGAGAUCCGGAAGAACACCAGUGGCGAAGGCGGCCUGCUGGGCAGUUGCUGACACUGAGGCGCGACAGCGUGGGGAGCAAACAGGAUUAGAUACCCUGGUAGUC